AUCCAAGCAACCAAACAGACCCCUCACCUUGUUCACCGAUUAAAAAUCACAUAAACCUACAAAACCCUAACGCCUCCAAGAGCGAAGCUGCUAAAACCUGAGCAAGAGGGUGAACACAAUCAGAGCCAAAAAAAAGUGCUUAAACAUGGCAAAGUCAAUGAGAUCGAAGAGAGAGAAGCGGCUAAGAGCCAUAAGGAGAGAUCUGGUAGAGCCCUUUUAUGACAAAAAAGAUGCAGCCAAGCUCGCUGCUCAAGAAGCUGCUCUUGCUGCUCCAAAGUUGCCCGUAAAACCUUCUCCUUUCGCUUCUACUUCUUCAGCCAUGGACACGACCACGACUGCAACUACUAUCUCAAAUACCAACAUCGAUGUGGAAAUGGCUGAUGACAGUCGAACUAGGAGUACAUUGAAGCCUAUAGGGAAGAAGCUAAAGAAGAAAUUCAAACUGGCAAAGAACAAGCGCCGCGGUAAGGGGAAGAUCAGGAGGAAGCAUAUUUAACUCUGUAAACUGAUAAGGAUCAUGUGUUCAAGUUCUGAUAUUUGUUUGCCAGGUGAAAUGACAGUUUUAUGUUUGAGACUGUUCUGUUACAUUCUGAUAUUCUGAUGCCUUAAUGAUAUCUUCAAUCUAUAAAAUUUUGAUCAUCUUUCCUUUUGGUACUGAGCUAGCAGAAAUGUGUUCAUUUCUCUUCCAGUUGGGAGAAUUUACUGAAUAUUUCUUUUUAUGUGGUGAACAUAUUGAACUUAGCCUAAUCUCGUGUGCCAAGAUCAUGUUCUUAUUAGGGCUGAGCAAUAUUCGAUUCAAAUUGAAAUAACUGACUGAACCGAAUUAAUUGAGAAACUCAGUUUGGUUUUUACAGGAAAUUGGUUCAGUUUAGAUUUAAUUUUAGCAUAUUUCUGUUUAUUUGGUUCGGUUCGGGUUUGAGAGCAAAAAUUUUCGGUUAAACAGAAUCAAACCCCCUAAAACACACCGUUUUGCUCUAGGGUUACUAAACCUACCCACUAUAUAAAUGUCAUUUUCUUUUCCUUUCUUCAAGAGUUUCUUCUUCACAUCAGACACUCUAUUUACUGUCCAUGAAACUCAUCCCUUUCUAGCUAAUUUCUUUUUCUUCUCUUCUUUUUCUUAUUUUUCUUCCCUCUAUGCGUGGUGGGUUGAGGCCCUAUCAGGUCAUCUCUUUGCCCCUUGGCCGUUGCCUCCGCCCUAAGCCCGUUGCCUCUGCCCUAAGCCCGUUGCUUACUCCUCACCUGGAACCAUGCAAGCCUUCAUGGCCUCCGUCGCGAUCUUGCCUCCCAAGUGUGAUUCAAUUUGAAAUUUUUUGUGUUGUUUGUAUUAGAUUUGUAUUUUAUUGUAUAAUUCAAUUUGUAUUUUGCUUGUAACGUGAAAUUGCAAAACUAUAUCUAUUGUUAUUGACUCAUUUUUUCGCAUCUACUUCUUCCUCUUUGUAGUGGUGCAUGUGUAUUGCG
rnacentral:misc_RNA from 1 species